rnacentral:rRNA from 1 species
CCCUUAGAUGUUCUGGGCCGCACGCGCGCUACACUGAUGCAUUCAACGAGUUUCUUCCUGGUCCGAGAGGAAUGGGUAACCUUUUGAAAGUGCAUCGUGAUAGGGAUAGACUAUUGCAAUUAUUGGUCUUCAACGAGGAAUUCCUAGUAGACGUAGUUCAUCAGACUGCAUCGAUUACGUCCCUGCCCUUUGUACAAACCGCCCGUCGCUCCUACCGAUUGAAUGCUCAGGUGAGCCAUUCGGACUUUCAUCAUGCUGGUUUCCAGUUUUGAUGAAGGAAAGUCUUGCGAACCUUAUCAUUUAGAGGAAGGAGAAGUCGUAACA